GAGAGUGAGGAUGUAGUUUGGAGGAGGAGUUCCGGUUUGUCGGUGACCUUUGUCGGCUUGUACCUCAUUGGAUAUGAUCUACUUGAGUAAGCAUCCUAGUUUGUCUAUGGUAGUGAGUUCUUGGUAAGGCUAAGCUCUUGUUGUUAUUUUCUUGUGGGUUCAUCGUUCGUCCUUGCGGGGAUGCUCUAGUAGAGGACUCCUGAUAAAGAUGGAUAAUCCUGUACAAUUCUAGAGUAGUAAUCGAUAGCGUAGACAUGGUGUGUAGGAUAGAGGUUACCUUUGUUUGCUACCUUUCCCCACGGUCUGAGAGGUAGGUGGCAGGUGGUGACAACUCUGUCCGUCCUUUGUAUCCCUCCACAUUCGGGUUCGGCAAAGGGCUUAAGGCUAGAGGCACUUGGCAGACUAGGUGUAAACCGGUGCUUCAAAGCAAAUGUUUAGUAGCCAAGUUUAUCCUUCCAUGAUCUCCAUCCUUAAACAACCUCUCUACCC
rnacentral:lncRNA from 1 species